UGAUACAAAUUAAACUAUCCGAAUGGUCUGUAACUAGUUUGUUUUAUAAUUUAGCUGCAGGUCUGUGAACAUUUUCCUGUAAUGAAUGUGUGAACAGGGUUCAACAGUAGCAACUAUUGUUAUUUAUUAUAAUUCUAAUUGUCAUCUGAAAACAACGUCGUAGUGUACAGAUUUAUUUCAUUUUAUAAACCAUAUUCUGUUUGUGUUUAUCGAAAGACUACUCUAAGCGGCAAAAGAUGAGAGCUGUGAUGAUAUUACUGACGCUGAGCAUCACAGCGUGCGACAUGUGCGUCCGCGGCGCGUCGGACGACAUCCCCGUGACAUUAGCCGGCGCCGCGCCCGCAGACAUACUGCUGUACCUCUACGACGUCGUGCUCACUCCCCACAUGCUCACUGAUACCAAUGGAGAAGGAGGGCCGGUUAUUAAAUCGGACCUUUGUCGUAACGGUAAACCUCCCACGAAAGAAGGUCAUUGUCCAGACAUCAUGAAUGACGAUUAUUAAUAUAUGUCCUCACAUCAUAGACUAUUAUGAAGACACAAGUGAAUUAUUUUUAUUAACAAUAAAAGUUUGUUUCAUCCUUUAGUCUAUAAAACAUAA